GUCCUAGCUUCGGCUGGACAUAUACUAAAAUUGGAACGAUACAGAGAAGAUUAGAAUGACCCCUGCGCAAGGAUGACGCGCAAAAUCGUGAAGCGUUCUAAAUUAUU
rnacentral:snRNA from 1 species